rnacentral:rRNA from 1 species
UACGGAGGGUGCGAGCGUUGUCCGGAAUCAUUGGGCGUAAAGGGCGCGUAGGUGGCCCGGUCAGUCUUUGGUGAAAGCGCGGGGCUCAACCCUGCGUCGGCCAGGGAUACUGCCGCGGCUCGAGCACUGUAGAGGCAGGCGGAAUUCCGGGUGUAGCGGUGGAAUGCGUAGAGAUCCGGAAGAACACCGGUGGCGAAGGCGGCCUGCUGGGCAGUUUAGCUGACACUGAGGC